CUAGUUUUUGUGGGUAUGUGUGUGUGCGUACGGGACAAAGAGCAGGAAGGGGGAAACCCUUCUCCAUCAAGCUUUGCAAGAAAUCCAAGAAAUUAAGGAGGAUUAAGGCUAGGUCUUUGAUGCAUGAGUUUAGAUUCAUGAUUCCUUAAGUGUUCUUGACAUCAAGAUAAAUAACAUGUCUACGGACUCAAGCACGGAGGCUAGCGGGUCAAAAGUAAGCAUGGAACCUAUGCUUGAACUUGGUCGCUCAAGGAAAACGAAGAUUUACGCAGGUUGUACGAAUCACGGGUGGUUAUCACGAGGAAUAGAGCUCGAAGAGCGAGUCACAAGCUAGAUUGUACGGGAAUAACUGAAUAUGUAUUAUUAGUAAUCGGGGCUUAUGCUUUAUUUUUUUGUAAAAGAUACAUAUUAAAACGUACUUUCAAGUAAGUCAUGACGUUAAUAAU